CGUUAUCACAGGGGGAGCUAUAUGGCUGAGAGGGAACAAUUUGUUCCGACCCUUAGAACCUGUUAGUUAAUGCUAAUGUAGGGAUUGUGCAAACGUUAAAAU
rnacentral:ncRNA from 2 species